GACGAACCGUGGCGAACGUUAUUCGGAAUCACUGGGCUUAAAGCGCGUGUAGGCGGGACGGCACGUCGGUCGCUGAAAUCCCCCGGCUCAACCGGGGAACGGGCGCCCGAUACGACCGUCCUGGAGGGACGUAGGGGGACCUGGAACUUCCGGUGGAGCGGUGGAAAUGCGCAGAUAUCAGGAAGAACACCGAGUGGCGAAGGCAGUUCUCUGGGACGGUACUGACGCUGAGGCGCGAAAGCGUGGGGAGCGAACAGG
rnacentral:rRNA from 1 species